rnacentral:rRNA from 1 species
GAACGGGUGAGUAACACGUGAGUAACCUGCCCUUAACUCUGGGAUAAGCCUGGGAAACUGGGUCUAAUACCGGAUAUGACUGAUCAUCGCAUGGUGGUUGGUGGAAAGCUUUUUGUGGUUUUGGAUGGACUCGCGGCCUAUCAGCUUGUUGGUGAGGUAAUGGCUUACCAAGGCGACGACGGGUAGCCGGCCUGAGAGGGUGACCGGCCACACUGGGACUGAGACACGGCCCAGACUCCUACGGGAGGCAGCAGUGGGGAAUAUUGCACAAUGGGCGCAAGCCUGAUGCAGCGACGCCGCGUGAGGGAUGACGGCCUUCGGGUUGUAAACCUCUUUCAGUAGGGAAGAAGCGAAAGUGACGGUACCUGCAGAAGAAGCGCCGGCUAACUACGUGCCAGCAGCCGCGGUAAUACGUAGGGCGCAAGCGUUAUCCGGAAUUAUUGGGCGUAAAGAGCUCGUAGGCGGUUUGUCGCGUCUGCCGUGAAAGUCCGGGGCUCAACUCCGGAUCUGCGGUGGGUACGGGCAGACUAGAGUGAUGUAGGGGAGACUGGAAUUCCUGGUGUAGCGGUGAAAUGCGCAGAUAUCAGGAGGAACACCGAUGGCGAAGGCAGGUCUCUGGGCAUUAACUGACGCUGAGGAGCGAAAGCAUGGGGAGCGAACAGGAUUAGAUACCCUGGUAGUCCAUGCCGUAAACGUUGGGCACUAGGUGUGGGGGACAUUCCACGUUUUCCGCGCCGUAGCUAACGCAUUAAGUGCCCCGCCUGGGGAGUACGGCCGCAAGGCUAAAACUCAAAGGAAUUGACGGGGGCCCGCACAAGCGGCGGAGCAUGCGGAUUAAUUCGAUGCAACGCGAAGAACCUUACCAAGGCUUGACAUGAACCGGAAAGACCUGGAAACAGGUGCCCCGCUUGCGGUCGGUUUACAGGUGGUGCAUGGUUGUCGUCAGCUCGUGUCGUGAGAUGUUGGGUUAAGUCCCGCAACGAGCGCAACCCUCGUUCUAUGUUGCCAGCACGUGAUGGUGGGGACUCAUAGGAGACUGCCGGGGUCAACUCGGAGGAAGGUGGGGACGACGUCAAAUCAUCAUGCCCCUUAUGUCUUGGGCUUCACGCAUGCUACAAUGGCCGGUACAAAGGGUUGCGAUACUGUGAGGUGGAGCUAAUCCCAAAAAGCCGGUCUCAGUUCGGAUUGGGGUCUGCAACUCGACCCCAUGAAGUCGGAGUCGCUAGUAAUCGCAGAUCAGCAACGCUGCGGUGAAUACGUUCCCGGGCCUUGUACACACCGCCCGUCAAGUCAUAGAAAGU